rnacentral:rRNA from 1 species
AGAGCUUGCUCUCUGAUUUUAGCGGCGGACGGGUGAGUAACACGUGGGCAACCUGCCCUACAGAUGGGGAUAACUCCGGGAAACCGGGGCUAAUACCGAAUAAUCAGUUUGUCCGCAUGGACAAACUCUGAAAGACGGUUUCGGCUGUCACUGUAGGAUGGGCCCGCGGCGCAUUAGCUAGUUGGUGGGGUAAUGGCCUACCAAGGCAACGAUGCGUAACCGACCUGAGAGGGUGAUCGGCCACACUGGGACUGAGACACGGCCCACACUCCUACGGGAGGCAGCAGUAGGGAAUCUUCCACAAUGGACGAAAGUCUGAUGGAGCAAUGCCGCGUGAGCGAAGAAGGUUUUCGGAUCGUAAAGCUCUGUUGUAAGGGAAGAACACGUACGGGAGUAACUGCCCGUGCCAUGACGGUACCUUAUUAGAAAGCCACGGCUAACUACGUGCCAGCAGCCGCGGUAAUACGUAGGUGGCAAGCGUUGUCCGGAAUUAUUGGGCGUAAAGCGCGCGCAGGCGGUUCUUUAAGUCUGAUGUGAAAGCCCACGGCUCAACCGUGGAGGGUCAUUGGAAACUGGAGAACUUGAGUACAAAAGAGGAAAGCGGAAUUCCACGUGUAGCGGUGAAAUGCGUAUAGAUGUGGAGGAACACCAGUGGCGAAGGCGGCUUUCUGGUCUGUAACUGACGCUGACGCGCGAAAGCGUGGGGAGCAAACAGGAUUAGAUACCCUGGUAGUCCACGCCGUAAACGAUGAGUGCUAAGUGUUAGGGGGUUUCCGCCCCUUAGUGCUGCAACUAACGCAUUAAGCACUCCGCCUGGGGAGUACGGCCGCAAGGCUGAAACUCAAGGAAUUGACGG